UCGAGAAUUUUUCUCAAUGGGGGAAACCCUGAAGGAGCGACGCCGCGUGGAGGAUGAAGGUCUUCGGGUUGUAAACUCCUGUCAUUUGGGAACAAGGUGUGCGCGUUAACUGCGCGCGCAUUGAUAGUACCAGAAGAGGAAGAGACGGCUAACUCUGUGCCAGCAGCCGCGGUAAUACAGAGGUCUCAAGCGUUGUUCGGAUUCAUUGGGCGUAAAGGGUGCGUAGGCGGCGCGGUAAGUCGGGUGUGAAAUUUCGAGGCUUAACUUCGAAACUGCAUUCGAUACUGCCGUGCUUGAGGACUGGAGAGGAGACUGGAAUUUACGGUGUAGCGGUGAAAUGCGUAGAUAUCGUAAGGAAGACCAGUGGCGAAGGCGGGUCUCUGGACAGUUCCUGACGCUGAGGCACGAAGGCCAGGGGAGCAAACGG
rnacentral:rRNA from 1 species